rnacentral:misc_RNA from 1 species
GAUGAAGAACGUAGCGAAAUGCGAUAAGUAAUGCGAAUUGCAGAAUUUCCGUGAAUCAUCGAAUCUUUGAACGCACAUUGCGCCCGUCAGUAUUCUGGCGGGCAUGCCUGUUCGAGCGUCAUUACGCCCCUCAAGUCCCCUGUGGACUUGGUGUUGGGGAUCGGCGAGGCUGGUUUUCCAGCACAGCCGUCCCUUAAAUUAAUUGGCGGUCUCGCCGUGGCCCUCCUCUGCGCAGUAGUAAAACACUCGCAACAGGAGCCCGGCGCGGUCCACUGCCGUAAAACCCCCCAACUUUUUAUAGUUGACCUCGAAUCAGGUAGGACUACCCGCUGAACUUAAGCAUAUCAAUAAGCGGAGGA